rnacentral:rRNA from 1 species
AGAACUUAGCAGAGAUGCUUUGGUGCCUUCGGGAACUCUGAGACAGGUGCUGCAUGGCUGUCGUCAGCUCGUGUUGUGAAAUGUUGGGUUAAGUCCCGCAACGAGCGCAACCCUUAUCCUUGUGCCAGCGGUUAGGCCGGGAACUCAAAGGAGACUGCCAGUGAUAAACUGGAGGAAGGUGGGGAUGACGUCAAGUCAUCAUGGCCCUUACGAGUAGGGCUACACACGUGCUACAAUGGCGCAUACAAAGAGAAGCGACCUCGCGAGAGCAAGCGGACCUCAUAAAGUGCGUCGUAGUCCGGAUUGGAGUCUGCAACUCGACUCCAUGAAGUCGGAAUCGCUAGUAAUCGUGGAUCAGAAUGCCACGGUGAAUACGUUCCCGGGCCUUGUACACACCGCCCGUCACACCAUGGGAGUGGGUUGCAAAAGAAGUAGGUAGCUUAACCUUCGGGAGGGCGCUUACCACUUUGUGAUUCAUGACUGGGGUGAAGUCGUAACAAGGUAAGCGUAGUGCU